GUAAUAAUGACACAGCAAGAUUAGUAUCUAAUCUAAGAAUCUCUGUUAAUUAUUGAGUACUCACUAGGCAUCAUGCUCAUUAUUGUAUGUACAUUAUUUAUUUAAAUUUUAUACUGCCUUAGUGACAGACAAUUGUGUAUUCUAUUUUCUGAAGGAGAAAUUGGUGCUUGGAUACUUUGUGUAACAUGCUUAAAGUCACGUUAAAACUAACACAAACAAUGUCAAGAGCCUCAGUUCUUAAUACUGAAAUUAGGAAGCCAUUGAGGACAGGCUGUUUGUAUAAUCCCUGAUAAAAUGACUAUUAAAAGAAUGAGAACAGACUUUUUAAAAGUAUAUUCUGGCUCUUUACUUUGGAAAUUUUAAAUCCUGGAUGAGACAGAAAAAUUGGAGGGCAAAUAAAAAUACUUUUGAGAGAAAGAUGAUGAGAACAGUAAAUCCCCCUUUGUCUGUCACCUGACACAAACCCACACACAUGGGCAUACUUGAAGCAGAUUCCUUUAGAAUUAAAGAGGAAGAAAAAGAUAGAUAUAUGGUCAGAGUGUUUUAAAGAGUGAAUGUAGGGUAAGUCUAGACAGAAACCUAAUAAUAUCACCUUAUAGUAAUGUAUCCAGUGCCCCACAUGACUAUAAAGUAGCAGCAAGUGGGACACUGGAUACAUUACUCAAAGGUGAUAUUGUAUUUCUG
rnacentral:lncRNA from 1 species